rnacentral:rRNA from 1 species
GACGAACGCUGGCGGCGUGCCUAAUACAUGCAAGUCGAACGAAGCUGUUUUAACUGGUGCUUGCACCGACUUAAACAACUGAGUGGCGAACGGGUGAGUAACACGUGGGUAACCUGCCCCAAAGCGGGGGAUAACAUUUGGAAACAGAUGCUAAUACCGCAUAACCACAGAAACCACAUGGUUUCUGUGUCAAAGACGGUUUCGGCUAUCACUUUGGGAUGGACCCGCGGCGUAUUAGCUAGUUGGUAAGGUAAUGGCUUACCAAGGCAAUGAUACGUAGCCGAACUGAGAGGUUGAUCGGCCACAUUGGGACUGAGACACGGCCCAAACUCCUACGGGAGGCAGCAGUAGGGAAUCUUCCACAAUGGACGAAAGUCUGAUGGAGCAACGCCGCGUGAGUGAAGAAGGUUUUCGGAUCGUAAAACUCUGUUGUCAGAGAAGAACGUGCGCGAGAGUAACUGUUCGUGCAGUGACGGUAUCUGGCCAGAAAGCCACGGCUAACUACGUGCCAGCCGCCACCGUAA